rnacentral:rRNA from 1 species
GUGCCAGCCGCCGCGGUAAUACAGAGGGUGCUAGCGUUAAUCGGAUUUACUGGGCGUAAAGCGUGUGUAGGCGGUUUGUUAAGUCGGGUGUGAAAUCCCUGGGCUCAACCUGGGAAUUGCAUUCGAUACUGGCAAGCUAGAGUACGGUAGAGGGCGGCGGAAUUCCGGGUGUAGCGGUGAAAUGCGUAGAUAUCCGGAGGAACACCGAUGGCGAAGGCAACCGCCUGGGCCUGUACUGACGCUGAGACACGAAAGCGUGGGGAGCAAACAGGAUUAGAAACCCCCGUAGUCC